rnacentral:lncRNA from 1 species
UUGUUGUUGUUAUUUCUUGGGCCACUCCCGCGGCAUAUGGAGGUUCCCAGGCUAGGGGUUGAAUCGGAGCUGUAGCCACCGGCCUAACGCCAGAGCCACAGCAACGUGGGAUCCGAGCUGCGUCUGCAACCUACACCACAGCUCAUGGCAACGCUGGAUCGUUAACCCACUGAGCAAGGGCAGGGACCGAACCCGCAACCUCAUGGUUCCUAGUCAGAUUCGUUAACCACUGCGCCACGACGGGAACUCCACUUAAAGUUCUUUUAAAUUUCUCUCUUCUCUCCCUUUUCUCUUUUUCAUUCUGGCUUUCCCUUGUGAGCACCAAGUUCCCAGAAUUCUGCAGAAUCCAACUCAGGUGGUCCCUGCCAGGUGACACCCUUGCUCUGGACCAGCCUCUGAAGACCAACUCUCUUUUGUGCAAGGAUCUGCUCUCAACUAAGAGCCAGCUUGGAAUAAGGGUGAUAAACUCACCCACUUCAAGUGUUAAUAGCAGCAAGAUCAGUGGCCCAGGUAUCCCAGGUCUAGGAAGGGUACCUAUCAUCACGUGCUCCCUCCUGGGGAAAGUAUUUGCAGUUCUUUAAAAUUUUUAAAGUCAGUCAACUUCCCAGCCUAGGAAGUGCAGGCCCCUCAGCAGGUGGCGGGGAGAGAUCUCCCCGGGUGGUCUGGGGAGGGAGACACCGCGGGCUUGGAGGGCGGAUCCUGAAGGUCAAAUUCGAUGAACUGAAGCCCGCGUCCAAAUGAAUCAGGGAGGCAGGAAAGCUAGGCAUUUUAGGUCCGUCUUCGGUUCAGCGGUGGCAUCUGCGCUGCAAGGAUGUAGUGCAGGUUUUCAAGUCUAACAAAACACCUUUUCCUUUAGAAACCGUGGGAGGCUAUGGGGGGAGGUAGGGAGAGAAAAACUUUGGGAGAACCGAGGGAUUAUGGCAGUUAGUAGAGGGGAUCCGGGGGGGCCAGUUUCUGUAAGAGAAGCUUUAAGCCUAAGCAGGGAAAAUAAAGUUCUUAAACCGUCUUCCUCCAUUUCUCUUCUCUUUCUUCUAAGGUGGGGUGGGGGGAAGGGCGGGUAAGAGCUUUCAUUUUUCUCUUUUCACCGACCUAUUAAUAGACAGAAAGCAACUUACUAGAGUAGAAGCACUUCCUUCCAAAGUAGGUAAUGAGAUGGGGAGAAAAUCAAAGGGAAACUCCAUCUUCACCUCCUACACGUCUCGUGGGGUCCAGUGAGACCAGUCUAGGACUGCUCAGAAGAACUUCAAAUGAUUUGUGAAAAGCCCUGACAUCUAAGAUGGUAGGGAGUUAGCAGGAGCUCAGAAGGAAGCUGGGAGAUGUGAACACCUUACAAAGAGAUAUUGCUGCAGACAACCGGUCAUGAUGUCUUACAUCAAAGGAAAUCUUAAGGCUAAGAAAGCAGAAGAGAAACAUGUUUCCUCUUGAUCAGUGGGGGUUGGCUACCUUGUCAUUUCUUUUUUUUCCUGCUUUUUAGGGCCUUACCCACAGCAUAUGCAGGUUCCCAGACUAGGGGUCCAAUCAGAGCUACAGCUGCUGGCCCAUGCCUCAGCCACAGUAACACCAGAUAGGAGCCUCGUCUUUGACCUACACCACAGCUCAUGGCAACGCUGGAUCUUUAACCCACUGAGCAAGGCCAGGGAUCGAACCUGAGUCCUCAUGGAUACUAGUCGGAUUCGUUCCUGCUGCACCACGACAGGAGCUCCUACCUGUCAUUUCUAAGCAGAAGAUGCCAAAGUUUAGUGAGAGUAAUUUUCUGGACUGGUAGGCAGGGAAUAUGGUAUUACUGUCAGCCCCAAGGUUGUGACAGUGACCUAUAAAUUCUUUCCCAGACAGAGUUUUAGGAAGUAUGUUUAAUUACUCUAUGAAAGGAAUUAUGUAAAUCAUUAAAGGUUUAAGUGCCAAAAUAUUCAGUCCUACCCAAAUCAAGAAUCAGCCAUGCAUAGCAAGCUGACUUUCCAGUUAACAACCUUCCCCCAAGUGCUGAUCUAAUCAAUGACCAACAUGAAAAUUUCUAUCUAUGAUGUCUAUUUCACCUUAUCCCCCGUGUCUACUGUAAUUCCUAGAACAUAAUGAGCCUCUGUAAAUAUGCGUGGAAUGCACUGUUGGGUUCAUAAUAUUUCCAUAUUAUAUUUAUUAUCUUGGAGAUGAGAUCUGAGAUGGUAGAGUUUCAGCUAUCUUCUCAGCUGACAUCUUGUGGGAUCUGGCCUUUUAAAUUAACCUGAAGAUGUUAGCACAGCAAGGGACUUUAGGGUUAGGUUGAGUUAACCUAUUUGUUUCACAAGGAGAACACUUGAAAAACAGAGUGGGAUGGUAACUUUCCUAAGGUCACACAGCCUAUAGAGCUAGGAUACAAACACAUCAUUGAUUCCUAGUCCUGUCUAAAAAUGGACACCUGCUUUUAGAGGAAGAACAGCCUAAAGAACACAUAAUACUAUGGAAGUGAAUUUUCAUUAGGGGAAAAGCAUCAGGAAAGGCACUGAAGUGGUGUACGUAGAAGUCCUUUGCAGCCUCUUAGUUCCUGUGCUAGGCAGCUCACAAGAGCAUUCUGAUUGACUUGGCAAUGCCAGAACUCUCAGAUCUAGAAAUAGCCAGCACUGAUGUUAAGGUCUAUUCUUCCUUGUGGUUGUUCAUUCUGAAAUCUCUAUGGAAUAAUUCAUCUGUCCUUUCUCAGCACUCCUGAAAAACAGGCCCUUCUUCAUGACAAUGAAGUUGAGAUCCAGAGUAAAAAUUUUAACUAAAAGCCAGGAAGAGAUUGAAAAGAAUCUUUUGUCUUCCCCCCACACACCCAUCUCUUCCCAUGUUUCCUUGCGGGGGUACUGGAUGAUCAGGGCCAACUAAAACUGAAGGAGUUUGGUUUUUCGGGGCACUCUUUUUUCUUGGCCACACUUGCAGCAUGUGAACGUUCCCAGGGAUCAAACUCUCAUGACAGCAGUGACCUGAGUCAUAGCAGUGACAAUGCCACGUCCUUAACUGCUAGACCACCAGGGAACUCCACACUCAAAGGCAUUUUAUCCUGGCUCUUAUACUGCUGAGUCUGUAAGAAAAUAGGCAGAAGAUAUGCCGAUGUGUGGUUUACACAGAUGUAAUUACAUUCCUGUCCUCCGUGGGUUCAUAAUGGCAGGCCUGAUGUUCAUCAGUUAACUCAACACUGAACUUCCUGAUACUUACGCCUAUCUGAGGGAGAAGGAUUUCACAGACCAUCAUGAGGAAAGGCAUACAUACCCACAAACCACUCUGCCCAACUCAGCUCAGUGACGUCCCCAACUCCCAAACACACUCUGCUCAGAGGGGGCUGCAAGCCUGCCACACUGUGGCUGAGAGUGAGGAGGCUGCAGUGGAUGCCCCAGCCCAGGCCAUGCAGGGCCACCUCCAUCAGCCAUCCUCCAUCCCAGGAGGACCCAAGCGGUCACCCAUGCCCUGCUUAUAGAGCCACUGCAUUCCACCCCUUUGGAAGAAAGAGCCUUUCCGACAGGCUCUCCUCAGGCGGCCUCAUCUUUGGUAGGACAUCUGAGUGGGUAGACUAAGCUCCCAGAGAUGAAGGCAGGCCUUCCAGAUGUUCAGGAGACAUUUUACUAUAUCUGCAAAAAGCUGGCCCCAUAUCUUCAAAGGGAUGCCGCCCACAAGAAACUGCCUCUCUCGGGCCUCAGAAAGCAGCCUGAGGCUUCUCCCCAUGCCUCUGAGGAUCUACGGCUGGGUGUGCCUUCCAUGACAGGGGGAUGCCAUCUGUGCUACCUUUCGGGACCUCCAGAAAAGGUGGCCUGACCUAGAGGAUGUGGUGGCGAGGUUAUGAUGUGCGCUGGGGCUUCUGGAGGCACACACAAAAGAACUCUCUAAACUGCUGUCAGUGUCCUUCCCUAAUUCUUCAGGUCAUGCUGACCCUGACUUUCAUCUCAGCCAAGUGCUUGUCAGCUGCCUGGGAUCCAGCCUUAAUUCACCUGUGAAGGCAACACGUCAGCUUUGCCACAGGGCAGAUGCAGACACUCUCCAGAAAGAAAUGGGGGGGGAGGCAUAGGGCCUGUCCUGGUGGGGGUGGCGGAGUGUACAGCCAACCCCUCAUCCCUGAGGAGUUGUUUCAACAGGCGCCCUUGGCCGUCUGGGACACUGUGGGGCAGGCCUUCAGGCACUAAGAGGCCAGUGGCAGUGUCCAGGCUAAGGCACUGGGAAGCCAGCGUGCACCUGGGAGGUGGUCACAAUCUGUGCACUGACGCAAGGCCUUCUACCUAGAUUUGGACCAGAGCCUCCACCCUCGCUAUGGCACAGUGGGUGCAGAACCAGCCUGCACAGCGGCCAAGGAUGAAGCACAAGGGCCGCUGGGGUUCCUCAUGCAUCAGAUCAUCAGACCAUCAGGCCUGGUGAGCAUCCAUCCUGCUUUUUCACUUGAAUUUCUCCUUCAGAUCUUCUUUCCUUGUUAACCCUUUUUUCAUUCCUGAGAAUAAAGCACGUUCGUUGAUGUCUGUAACACUUCAAGGUGCUGUAUUUUUUUAUUUUUAGUUUUUGGUCUUUUUGUCCUUUUAGGGCUGCACCUGCAGCAUAUGGAGGUUCCCGGGUUAGGGGUCCAAUUGGAGCUGUAGCCGCCGGCCUACGCCAGAGCCACAGCAAUACCAGAUCCGAGGUUGUGUCUGCAACCUACACCACAGCUCACGGCAAUGCUGGAUCCUUACCCCACUGAGCGAGGCCAGGGAUCGAACCUGCAACCUCAUGGUUCCUAGUCGGAUUCAUUUCCGCUAUGCCACAAUGGGAACUCCGAUGUAUCUUUUUAUAAAGUGCCUGGAGAGGGCAUGCAGGCUGGUUAUUCCCAGCCAAAGGGGAACAAAUUGUCUGCACUGUCAAAGGAGCCUGAAAGCAACUGGUUACAGGUGCCUUGCUGCUUUAGAGCCUGAUCUACUCAUUUGCUGGCCCCAUUUCAAAUUUCCUGUGCCCUGCUUUUAUCACCCAUUAAAGGCACAAACAUAUAUAUAUAUUUAUAUAUUCAUAUAUUUAUACUUGUACACAGUCUACCUUCUCUGAACCAAUUUUGUUCAAAUGAUAAUCUGGGAGUUGCCUUCAUGGCACACUGGAAACAAAUCUGACAGGAACCAUGAGAUUGUGGGUUCGAUCCCUGGCCUUGGACUGCUAGCCUGGGGACCUCCACAUGCCAUGGGUGUGGCCCUAAAAAGUUAAAAAAAAAAAAGAAGAUAAUCUGUAUUAGUUUCCUUCUGUUGCUAGAUAAUCUGUAUUAGUUUCCUUCUGUUGCUAUAUCAAACUGCCACAAACUUAGCAACUUAAAAACACAUUCAUUAUCUUACAGUUCUGGAAGUCAGAAGUCCAAAACCAGUCUCAGUGUGCUAACAUCAAGAUGUAGGUAGGGCUCACGUUCCCUCUGAAGGCUCUAGUGGGAAAUUGGUUCCGAGCCUUUUCCAACUUCUGUACACCACCUACAUUUCCUGGCCCAUGGCCCAUUUCUCCAUCUUCAAAACUAGCUGUGUAGCAUCUUUUCUCUUUCUGACCUCUGCUUCUGUUGUCCCAUCCCUUCUCCAUCCUGCUGUGAAGUCCCUCCCAUCCUAGACCUUCAAUAAUUCCAUGUUCCCAAGCUCAGGUAAAGGCCUUAACUGGGAGAGGAUACAGGUAUGCCAUCUAGAAUCCUUCAAGGCAUGAGGUCACUUCCCAACUUCUUCCUGAGCAGUGCAUGUACUCUUGAGAUCACUCAUUCACUGAAUGUUUUGUGUGCCUGCUCUGUGCUUUGGCACUAGGUAGGUAUGCAAAGGUGAAAGAGGUGUUCCUUACCGUCAAGAAUGCCAACAGAGGAAAAAGUCCAGCAAAUGUAAAGAGUCACUGUGAUGAUUGAGAGCAGGGCAUAUGGCUGACCAGAAGAGAAGCCUCCAAUUGAGUAGACUUGUAAGAGGUGAGUUGAAUGGUAAAGGACAGCAUGGUGGCAGGAGCUCCAGGAAGUGGGACUUGCAGAAGGCACAGGGGUGACACGGUGUGGUGCUUUGGGAGAACAGCAGGUAGUUUUGCAGGCUGGAGGCCAGGGUGAGGAAGCGUGGGACUGCAGAGGCAGACAGGGGCUGUAUGCCAAGCUAAGGAGGUGGAACGUCUUCCUAAAAGCCAAAGGGAAUCACUGAUGGAAUAAUCAGGGGAUGACAUGAUCUGUUUGGCUUUUAAAAAAAGAUAACCCUAAGAAAUAAAGAGGGAUGAACUGGAAGAAGGAGAGGGAACUGGGAGAGUUUCUGCAGCUGCCCCUGCCCUUUCCAGCAGUUUUCCUCAGCCAAGUACCUUUCCUCAGCCCCUCUCAGCCCCUCUUCCCACCCACCCUGACCCACCCAGCUGAGGCUGAGCUACAAAAUCAAGAGGCAAGCCUUAGACUGGGUUCUGCAGGGCUGGACAGGAGCCUUGGCUUGUCCACCUUUAGAAACAGAGCCGGUAAUCCCCAGACCUAGCUGUAGUUGGAUUUUACUGUGUUUACCUUGUGCCUCUUCCCUUUUCCAGUUUCCUCCUUCUCUCAAUGUCCUGGAAGUGAAAAUCCUCAAGAGGUGUGUGUGUGUGUGGUGCAUAUGCACGUGUGUGUGUGGACAGAGGGUAGGGGGAAUGGGAAAGAUUUUAGGGGUGAAGCCUAUACCACAAUGAGAAAGCUCUAGCAGUUAAUGAGCAUGAUUUAAAAAAAAAAGUUUUCGUGACUCUUUUUACCUCCUUUAAGGUUUAUGGGCUGGCGGUGGGGUGGGGGGGGAUGCUGGGUUCAUGUUGAUGAUAAUAAGGCAGAGAAGAAAAUCUUUAUCUUGCUUAGUGGACACAGCUGAGAUGGGGCAGUUGUUUGCUAGUUUGAGGGUUGGAAGAAGGAGGAAUAAGCCUACUCCUGAGCUGUUUCAGGCCUGAGGCAAGAGGAAGGCUGGUCUUGGGGCCCCAAGAAGUCUAAGCAGCUGGAAUCAGGGACCCUCGGAGGGGCUGGCAUGCAAACCCUGGAUGGUGGAUCGGGACAGUAAACACACGCCUCAGGCCAAGCUUUUACUUGCACAUGCACUCUGUCAAGAGAAAGCUGCUGGGAAGACAGGGCUCUGUCCAGUUGAAGGCAAGCUUUGGGCAGACCCCAAGGUCUCCAGGGCUCCACCAC